CUUGUAAGAAACACCUCAUUCAAAGUUGUUAUGGAAACACCAUAAUCCUCAAUGCCUUGGUUAGAACAUCUAUCAAGAUCCCUGUAAAGUUCUAAAAGUGGAUACAAAAACAGAUUAUAAGAAUAUAAUUUAUAAUGAGAACCAUAUUUCUCAAAAAUGUAAAAUAUUGGUAAUAGGCCAAAUGUACUAAUCAGAAACAAAAUUGUGAUACAGAUGAUCUCAUUUCUAAAAUGAUCCAUAUAGUAUGUUACUUUUCAUGUCUUUUUGAGAUCAAAGUCUAAUCUAAACAUUUAUUUUUUCACUCUUAGGAAACUACCUAUGUGUUUUUUGAAAAACAUAUUUUAAUAUAUUUUUUAAAAUUUAUUUUUGUUAUAUUACAGGGAGUGUUUAAUUCUCAAUUUCAACUAAUUAAAAAAAUAUUUUCCA
rnacentral:lncRNA from 1 species